UACAGAGGUCUCAAGCGUUGUUCGGAUUCAUUGGGCGUAAAGGGUGCGUAGGUGGCGCUGUAAGUCUGGUGUGAAAUCUCGGAGCUCAACUCCGAAAUUGCACUGGAUACUGCUCUGCUAGAGGGCUGGAGAGGAGAUCGGAAUUCACGGUGUAGCAGUGAAAUGCGUAGAUAUCGUGAGGAAGACCAGUGGCGAAGGCGGAUCUCUGGACAGCUCCUGACGCUGAGGCGCGAAGGCUAGGGGAGCAAACGGG
rnacentral:rRNA from 1 species